UGUUUGAGUGCUUCUUCCUCACACUAAAGUAUCACCAUCUGAAAUAAGAGAGAACCUCCAGAACUGUCAGAUAACUGUUUUGAAGCUUGCUUUUGCUGCACAAUCCACAAGGCAGCAGGAAGAGAGGGACAAUGGAAUUGCAGCUAAGUGAAGCAUGUUCUUCCUGCAGUCUCUCUGAUGCUUUCCUGGAACUGGUUCUCUUGCUGUUUAUGGAACAAAAGCAACAAGCUGAAUCUUCUGUUUGUCUGCUGGUGGCCUUAAAAUGGAAGAUAUUGGAAGAUUUAAGCUCAAGAAGUUCGUCACAGAGAGUGGUGAGGUGCUGGCACACGCUGCCCAGAGAGGCUGUGGAUGCACCUGGAGGCGUUCAAGACCAGGCUGGAU